ACAUCUUUAAAUAUUUAGGUUUUUUAGAGGGUUCCUUAGAGGGUGAGCAUCAAGUGAAGUCGGCUUUUUGGGUUCUUUGUCGGAGAUCUGGGAGUUACCUUUUUCAGAUCUGGUUCUCCGACAGAAGGUGGUAGCGCGUGGGGGUCCGAGCAGCAUCAUCCUCUCCACAUCCGGUGUUAUAGUGCUUGUUUCGGUGGUUAUUUUGCGGAUCUGGUCUGGUCUGGUUCGCUUCCUCUCUGGGUGUCCUGAGGGUUGCCCCGUUGUUUGUUACAGGCUCAAGGUGGACGUUUGUUGCUAUGGCUUCAUCAUCUAGGCGUGCUUGUGUGUCAGUCUCGAGCUCUCCGGUCAAGUGCGUGCAGGUAAAAGGUCUUCAGGUUUCGCUUACGUCUAUGUUCUGUUGCUCCUCCCCCGUCCACACCGUUCCUCCAGGCUCUGUGAGGCUUCCUUGCCUCUGUUUGGGUCUUGUUCCUGCCAUCAUGUGCUGCGGGUUUUGAUGUCACCGAAAUUUCAAAGCCUUGGUCAAAGGACUCCUUUCCUCAUUGCUGGUAUUCGGUAUUCUUGUGAUUGUUUUCUUGGAGUUUACUGAUGCUAGUGGUGAAGAGCUCUUAUGCUCUGGAUUAGUACUUUUCUGGGAUAGGACUGUUGAUCAGUUUAGCUUAUGUUCUUCAUCUCCCUGUAUUUUGUUCUUUUGCAGUAUGGUCGUCGCUCAGGGACUUACUUCUGUAUUGAUACUUCUGUCGUCAUCAAGGUUUGAUAAUUAACCUUCAAAGUUUCCAACUUUCUGGUGGAAUUGUUCUGAGUAGUGAAUAUAUGUAUUUGUUCAAAGAUUAUAUGAUUUUGGAGGAGAUUGCUUCUUCUACUUGUAGAUAAUGAUUUGCCAGAAGUAGAUUUAGCGUUGUUUUCUUGAUGUAUACAGUAGCUAUUUCAUAUCUUUAUGUGGAAUUUUGUUGCAUAUGUGGUGGUUUUUGUCUAAAGUAACUAUCUUUCUGCGUUGAUUAUAAUCUACUUGGAGAAGAAGUUCAUUUGAAGAACUUGAAAUCUAUUUCUUAUUAACUGAUCAACUUGCUGAGUUUUCUUCUUCUAAUAGUGAAUGAGUCUGCAGAAGAAACUGAGUUGGUAUUUGGGCAUUAUUUUUAAAGAGCAUUUGUAAUUUUAAAUAUCAAUUCAACAAAGUCUGAUAUAUGUUAUUUUUGGUGUACACAUUUUGAUGAUAAAGCUCAGAGGUUAGACAGGGCUCGUGGAACUCUCCUUGUGUUCCAAUGAGAGAGAGUGUUCAGAAGCAUAUGCACGUUAUAGUUUCCAUAGAGGUUACAAAUGCCAGAUUGCUAGGCAAGUAGAGUUAAACAAGGUGGAGGCGGCUGAAGAAGCUUGAUGGUGGUGGUCUCCCCACCGACGCCAUGUCAGAAGAAGCAUGGCUCGAGACGAGAAGACAAAGGUCUGGUGAUUCAAGAUUCAAGAAGAACAUAACUCGUGAUGCCCUUUUUCAAAAAAAAAAAAAAAAAAGAACAUAACUCGUGCUCUGUUUUUUUUCUGUGUGUGUUUUUUAUUUACUUGGGGUAAAGUUCUGAUCUUGUGUUGCAGUUUUGCUAGAUUUACGUUCACAAUCUCAAUCUAGCAUGUCUGAUUCAAUUGUUUGUCCAUUGAGUUACAUAUAAGUCUAAUGAAAUACCAUUACAAAAUA